UACGUAGGGUGCAAGCGUUAAUCGGAAUUACUGGGCGUAAAGGGUGCGUAGGCGGUUUGGUAAGUCUGAUGUGAAAUCUAUGGGCUCAACUCAUAGUCUGCAUCGGAAACUGCCGGGCUUGAGUGUGGGAGAGGUGAGUGGAAUUCCUGGUGUAGCGGUGAAAUGCGUAGAGAUCCGGAGGAACACCAGUGGCGAAGGCGACACGCUGGGCCGUACCUGACACUGAUGCGCGACAGCAUGGGGAGCAAACAGG
rnacentral:rRNA from 1 species